CCUACGGGAGGCAGCAGUGGGGAAUAUUGCACAAUGGGGGGAACCCUGAUGCAGCGACGCCGCGUGAGUGAAGAAGUAUUUCGGUAUGUAAAGCUCUAUCAGCAGGAACGAGACAAGACGGUACCUGACUAAGAAGCCCCGGCUAACUACGUGCCAGCAGCCGCGGUAAUACGUAGGGGGCAAGCGUUAUCCGGAAUCACUGGGGGGAAAGGGAGCGUAGACGGCUGAGCAAGCCUGAAGUGAAAGGCGGGGGCCCAACCCCCGGACUGCUUUGGGAACUGUACGGCUGGAGUGCAGGAGAGGUAAGUGGAAUUCGUAGUGUAGCGGUGAAAUGCGUAGAUAUUAGGAGGAACACCAGUGGCGAAGGCGGCUUACUGGACUGUAACUGACGUUGAGGCUCGAAAGCGUGGGGAGCAAACAGGAUUAGAUACCCGUGUAGUC
rnacentral:rRNA from 1 species